rnacentral:tRNA from 1 species
GGGAGUAUAGCUCAGCUGGUUCAGAGCGCCUGCCUUACAAGCAGGAGGUCACUGGUUCGAUCCCUGUUACUCCCACCA